rnacentral:rRNA from 6 species
AAACUUUCAACAAUGGAUCUCUUGGUUCCGGCAUCGAUGAAGAACGCAGCGAAAUGCGAUAACUAAUGUGAAUUGCAGAAUUCCGUGAAUCAUCGAGUCUUUGAACGCACAUUGCGCCCCCUGGUAUUCCGGGGGGCAUGCCUGUCCGAGCGUCAUU